AGAGCACAAUCUGAGGACUAUGGAAACGUUACGAGAGAUGGAGAGAACUGAAGCUCAAACUAAGAUUUCUGCUCUGGAGCAAAAGCUUCUGAAAAACAGUGGAAAUGUUUGGACAGAUGCUUCAGACCAUGACUCCAUACACAUGCAGCAGGAUGAAAGCAGAAAAAGAUCAGAUGAGACCCAGCAGAUGAAUCCUCUGAUGCUUCAUAAAUAUCAACCUCAAAGGCAG